UCUCAAAAUCAUCAUUUUUGACAAUUGUAUACACACAGGCGUUGACUUAUUUUAGCUAAGGAACCAUGUAGCAGCACAGGUGUUCAGAGGACCGAUUUCAGGUGUGCACAUAAACUGAAGAGUUUUCAAACAAGACUUUCCGUGGGACAGCACAGCGGCGCUUUUCAGUUGAAGAUACACGAGAGGAGAGAAUGAAAAAAGACCAGCAAGGAUAAAUUAAGGAGGAUGUAACAAAAUACACUGCAAGAACUGGAAUGAGAGACAAGUGAGGAUGAAGAGGACAACAGAAUAUCCAUCCUUUUUUCACCACCUCAGAGAGUUUGAGUGAAACAACUUGUAUUAGGACUCACAGGAUUAUUUUAUAACAAGACUGAUUAUCUUAUACCAGAAGUUUGGUAUUUUUUUUUUUUUUAAGCUACUGUAUUAUUUCUUAUGACAAUUCAUUUUGAUGUGCAUUCAGAACUGUAAGUUGGUAAGUACAUUUACUGUAUUUACUGUAAGUAAAGGCUAAAGAGUAUAUCUCCUCUAGUUCUAAACAACGUUCCCAAAGGUCCCAAUAAUGUUAAGCCAACAUAAAAGUGUCCAGUUUUAAAAUUGUUUAGGAAUGUUUCUUGAUUGUGCAAAUGUUAGAGGAAUGUUACAUUUUAUUAGACAAUGUCAUGUUUAAAUGUACUCACAAUGUUUAAAACACAUGUCUAGUAUAUUUUAUGAAUGUUUAUAUGCAAUAUUUUAACAGAACAUUAAGAAAUAAUGUUUUACAACAGUUUGUAAAUAAUAGAAUGUAAUGUUUUUUUAUCAUUACAAGCAAAAACAUUCAUAACGUUAUUGGGAACUUUGGGAACUUUCAAGGAACGUUCUUAGAACCUUUCUCUGUGGUUGAGCAUUGUGUUAGCAUCAUAAAACGCUAUGGGUUCAAACAAGGGAAUGCACAUGCUGAUAAAAAAUGUAUACUUUGCAUUGCACUGUAUGUUAUUUGCCUUUUUCUGUAAAUGUGAAGAUAAAUGUAAAGACAGACAGUCA